rfam:Ovis aries breed Texel chromosome 7, whole genome shotgun sequence.
CCCCUGGUGGUCCAGUGGUUAGGACUCAGCACUCUCACUGCUGGGGCCCCAAGUUCAAUCCCUGCUCAGGGAA